rnacentral:tRNA from 1 species
AUUUAAAUAGUUUAUAAAAAAUAUUGGUUUGUGGAAUCAAAGAUAUAAUUAUUUUAUUUUAAAUA